UGGCUACAGGCCAUUACUGUUGCUAAUAUGCAACUCUGUUGAACAAAAUUGGAAUUGCACUUUAGCAAUGGUGAUGGAUUGUUAAGCCA
rnacentral:pre_miRNA from 1 species